CUGGUCUUGACAUAGUAAGAACUUUCCAGAGAUGGAUUGGUGCCUUCGGGAACUUACAUACAGGUGCUGCAUGGCUGUCGUCAGCUCGUGUCGUGAGAUGUUGGGUUAAGUCCCGCAACGAGCGCAACCCUUUUCCUUAUUUGCCAGCGGGUUAAGCCGGGAACUUUAAGGAUACUGCCAGUGACAAACUGGAGGAAGGCGGGGACGACGUCAAGUCAUCAUGGCCCUUACGACCAGGGCUACACACGUGCUACAAUGGUCGGUACAAAGGGUUGCUACCUAGCGAUAGGAUGCUAAUCUCAAAAAGCCGAUCGUAGUCCGGAUUGAAGUCUGCAACUCGACUCCAUGAAGUCGGAAUCCCUAGUAAUCGCGGAUCAGAAUGCCGCGGUGAAUACGUUCCC
rnacentral:rRNA from 1 species